rnacentral:misc_RNA from 1 species
CAAACCCCAGUCAGAACGGUUGCAGUUUAGGGUAUAACGCUAUCCCUAAAAUAUUUCAUAUUUUUCAUCUGUUGCUUUGCCCUUCAUUCUCUCACUCUCACAGGUAGAGUUAUCUCUCUCGAAUUCAUAGUCGCCAGUGCUUUAUCUUCCUGUUCUUUUCUUCUUCUUCAAGACCCAUAUGAUAAAUCUGGUUUAGCAUGGAGAAAGUGGACACCGAUGUCAUAGAUCUACCCCUUAAACGUCUCAACUCUUGGGCCGCAGCGUCCCUCUUGCUGCAUUGUUGUGCUUCUUCUUCUUCUUC